rnacentral:rRNA from 1 species
AUGGACGCUGGCGGCGUGCUUAACACAUGCAAGUCGAACGAUGAUGCCCAGCUUGCUGGGUGGAUUAGUGGCGAACGGGUGAGUAACACGUGAGUAACCUGCCCUUGACUCUGGGAUAAGCCUGGGAAACUGGGUCUAAUACCGGAUACGACCAUCUGGCGCAUGUCAUGGUGGUGGAAAGCUUUUGUGGUUUUGGAUGGACUCGCGGCCUAUCAGCUUGUUGGUGGGGUAAUGGCCUACCAAGGCGACGACGGGUAGCCGGCCUGAGAGGGUGACCGGCCACACUGGGACUGAGACACGGCCCAGACUCCUACGGGAGGCAGCAGUGGGGAAUAUUGCACAAUGGGCGCAAGCCUGAUGCAGCGACGCCGCGUGAGGGAUGACGGCCUUCGGGUUGUAAACCUCUUUCAGUAGGGAAGAAGCGAAAGUGACGGUACCUGCAGAAGAAGCGCCGGCUAACUACGUG